UACGGAGGAUGCAAGCGUUGUCCGGAAUUAUUGGGCGUAAAGAGCUCGUAGGCGGUGUGUCACGUCGUUCGUGAAAACCUGCAGCUUAACUGUGGGCGUGCGGUCGAUACGGGCAUCACUGGAGUUCGGCAGGGGAGACUGGAAUUCCUGGUGUAGCGGUGAAAUGCGCAGAUAUCAGGAGGAACACCGAUGGCGAAGGCAGGUCUCUGGGCCGAUACUGACGCUGAGGAGCGAAAGCGUGGGGAGCGAACAGG
rnacentral:rRNA from 1 species